GAUGAACGCUGGCGGCGUGCCUAAUACAUGCAAGUCGAGCGAAUGGAUUAAGAGCUUGCUCUUAUGAAGUUAGCGGCGGACGGGUGAGUAACACGUGGGUAACCUGCCCAUAAGACUGGGAUAACUCCGGGAAACCGGGGCUAAUACCGGAUAAUAUUUUGAACUGCAUGGUUCAAAAUUGAAAGGCGGCUUCGGCUGUCACUUAUGGAUGGACCCGCGUCGCAUUAGCUAGUUGGUGAGGUAACGGCUGACCAAGGCAACGAUGCGUAGCCGACCUGAGAGGGUUAUCGGCCACACUGGGACUGAGACACGGCCCAGACUCCUACGGGAGGCAGCAGUAGGGAAUCUUCCGCAAUGGACGAAAGUCUGACGGAGCAACGCCGCGUGAGUGAUGAAGGCUUUCGGGUCGUAAAACUCUGUUGUUAGGGAAGAACAAGUGCUAGUUGAAUAAGCUGGCACCUUGACGGUACCUAACCAGAAAGCCACGGCUAACUACGUGCCAGCAGCCACCGUAA
rnacentral:rRNA from 1 species